rnacentral:rRNA from 1 species
UACGUAGGCAGCAAGCGUUGUUCGGAGUUACUGGGCGUAAAGGGUGCGUAGGCGGUUGUUUAAGUUUGGUGCGAAAUCUCCCGGCUCAACUGGGAGGGUGCGCCGAAUACUGAAUGACUAGAGUGCGGGAGAGGAGAGUGGAAUUCCUGGUGUAGCGGUGAAAUGCGUAGAUAUCAGGAGGAACACCGGUGGUGUAGACGGCUCUCUGGACCGUAACUGACGCUGAGGCACGAAAGCGUGGGUAGCAAACAGG